ACUUCGGGUGUUACAAACUCUCGUGGUGUGACGGGCGGUGUGUACAANGCCCGGGNAACGUAUUCACCGCGGCAUGCUGAUCCGCGAUUACUAGCGAUUCCAGCUUCAUGUAGGCGAGUUGCAGCCUACAAUCCGAACUGAGAACGGUUUUAUGAGAUUAGCUCCACCUCGCGGUCUUGCAGCUCUUUGUACCGUCCAUUGUAGCACGUGUGUAGCCCAGGUCAUAAGGGGCAUGAUGAUUUGACGUCAUCCCCACCUUCCUCCGGUUUGUCACCGGCAGUCACCUUAGAGUGCCCAACUUAAUGAUGGCAACUAAGAUCAANGGUUGCGCUCGUUGCGGGACUUAACCCAACAUCUCACGACACGGAGCUGACGACAACCAUGCACCACCUGUCACUCUGCUCCCCGAA
rnacentral:rRNA from 1 species